AGCACAAACGUUUCCCGUGCAAGUUUGAAUCUCUCUCAGUAAGGACUAACUGACUGGCUUUCUGUUCUCAACCAAACGGUCAUUCUUACUUGUAAAAACCUUUUAAAGCACAAACGUUUCCUGCGUAAGUUUGAAUUUCUCUCACACAAACAUUUCCCGCGCAAGUUUGAAUUUCUCUAGGACUGAUGGAUGGCCAUUCACUCAUAAAACCUUUUAAAGGUUAGCAGGAAUGCGUCCAGCAUAAUUUUGGAUCUUUACCAUUGUGGAGACUGGCUGACUGACUGUUCUCAACCAACCAUCAUUCACUAACAAAAACUUUAAAGGUACCACAUUUAUUUAUUAUGUUGUUAGUAAACCACAGUUCUGUUAGUGGAAUAUUUAUUCAUAUUUUUGUUUUUUCU